UAUAUAUAUAUAAUUUUUAUAGAUGGGUGGAUACACUAGGUGUCCAUAAUAAUUUAUAGAUGGGUGGAUAUAUAUAUCAUUAAGUCUAUGAUAGAAUUCGAAUAAUAGUGGUCCCCUAAAAUUUUAUGGUGCUUUGAAAUAGCAUCUUACAAUGAAUAAAAAUAGUAAAAAAUAUAGGUUAGUUUCAUACAGCUCCCUGCUAAUAUAGUGAAUUACAAACAUAUCCUUACAAAAUUCAACUUUCAUAUAUUGUUUCUAUAAAAAUCUUGAUAUUUCAAAUAUCUCCCUACCAUUAUAAUCUAUUAUAAAAUUUUAGUUAAUCAUAGAUUAAAUACUUAACCCUAGUUAGUUAAUGAAGUAGAUUGACAUUUUUAUCUUUCUUUAAUUAGCAGUUGGGACUUUUAAAAGAAUAUAUUUGUAAUGGUAAAGUACUUUAACGGUAGCAAAUCAGAGAAACAUAUUUAAAAAUAUUAAUAUUUUUAUAGAGACAAAAUAUGAAAAUUAAAUUUUAUAGAAAUAUAUUUGUAAUUUAUUAUAUUUGUAGGGACCCAUAUGAAAUUAACCAAAAAAGAUAUAGAUUCGAAUGGUAGAAAAGUUAAUAGCACUAAAUAUUUGGUGCUACUAGAAACUACCAACAAUAGGCUAUACUUAUUUAUAUUUAUACUAUUUGAGUUGGCAAAUAGAUUCCUAAAUAUAAUAAAAAAAUAUUCCAUGCACAUUGCAAAAAAAAAAUAAUUAUAUCAAAUCAAUAAUUAUUUAAAUUCAAAUACUAGAGAGUUUGAUUCAUUUUAAAAUCAAUUAGAAUUUUUAAAUUUUGGAUAUAUAUUAAAAACAUUGUACGUGAUAGAACAUAGAUAAAAAAAUAUUUAUGGUAUAACUAAAUUAAAGCAUAUUUAGAAAUAAAUCAAAUUUAUAUAAUAUAUUAAUUAAAACAUAAACUUUGUCAUCAAUAACUAUUUAAAUUGAAAAUACAAUACAAUAUUUAAAUUUAAUUUAAUUUUAAAAUAUGAGGUGAAUCUACUAUAACUUUAAUAUAUUUAUAUAGAGAGUUAGGCUAGUAUACUAUCGGUAGCACGGAGGCCUACAUAUUACUAAGUUGUUUUCAAUGAUCCGGCUUCCAAAUCGACGAUCGGCUCUAUUAAACUUAAACAACACUAUUGAAAAUAUUUGAAAACUAUAUUUCAUAAAUUUUCGGCAUCAUUUACCUAUCAAACGAAUAAUCUAAAAAUGAACGGCUGAAAAUAAAAAUCUCCUAAAAAAUGAUGAUAAAAGACUUGAAUUUAAGAUCAGAACUACUGAUCUUACUCUAAAUAGUUAAAAGAAUUUUCUAUAAAAAUUUCAUCAAAUUUGAAUUGUUUUACACUGUUAAAUUUACAAACGCAUCACAUCUAUUAUUAAAAUUGUCAAUUUUGAGACCUUUUGAUCACUACCCAAAUGAUGUCGAAAAAUUAUAAAAUUUAGUUUCCAAAUAUUUUUAAUAGUGUAGAUCAAGUUUAACAGAGCCGAUCGUCGAUAUGGAAGCCGUAUCAUUAAAAAUAACUUGGUAGCACGGAGGCCUACCAAUAGUAUACCAACCUAAAUCUCUCUCUCUCUCUAUAUAUAAAAUUAAUGAUUAAAAAAAUAUUUUUAAUAAAUUUAAAAUAUUAAUGUUGAUUUUAAAGUUCGGAAA
rnacentral:lncRNA from 1 species